rnacentral:lncRNA from 12 species
CCCAGCCUUGUCCUGGCCGGCCACAACGCAUAACCUGCUGGCUUCCAGGUACCAGGAAGAGAUGGUGACUGAAGGGUGCCACUACAGGGUACAGCCUGGGAGAUCCCAGGACAGAAAAGAGAAAUCCAAGACAGAAGAGGAGGAUAGAGAAUGGGCAAGAGCAGGAGUGCCAGUCUACCUCUGGCUUUGCCUGGUCGGUGUGGACUAUUUUGGAGAGCUCUGACAAAGUGCUUGAUGGUGCUUCUAGCAGCCUUGGCCCCAGCUGCCCACGAGGACAUUGCUCUCCUGAGCUUCCUACUCUCAGCCCUGUGCUCUGUCACCUGGACACUGAGUCAACAAAUCAAAGGCUGGACCUCAGAGAGUUGCUCAGGAAGACAGCUUCUGGUUUUAACCAUCUUUACCUCAGGGUUCAAAGCCAACCCUUUGGGAGGCAUCAUGUCCUCAACCAGCCAACCAGCCAUGAUGGCUACUCAACAUACUAGAGAUUCCUGGAGAAGGACACAACGUUAUUCUGGUCCUCAGGAGUUGGAGCCCAGAGUGACGGAGACACCAGCACACUGCCUCCCAGCUGAAUGGCCAGUUCACAGCACCAGGAUGCCCACUGGAUACCAGUCAGCAGGAAAAAAAAAAUCAUGUGACACAGAUGGUUGUUCACACAAGGAGCCGGGUCUGCAUAAUUGUAUCACUAAUCAGCAGUAAGGCAAUUAGUUGUGUAAGUGUGCUAUAAUCAUUCUAACAGAAGAGAUGACGAAAAGACAAAAAAAAAGGGGGGGC